GGAGAGAUAGCUCAGCGGUUAAGAGCACCUGGCUGCACUUCCAGAGGACCUGGGUUUGAGUCCCAGCACCC
rnacentral:tRNA from 1 species